GGCGAACGCUGGCGGCGUGCCUAAUACAUGCAAGUCGAGCGCAGGAAACUGACGGAACUCUUCGGAGGGAAGGCAGUGGAAUGAGCGGCGGACGGGUGAGUAACACGUAAGGAGCCUGCCUCAAGGAUUGGGAUAACUCCGAGAAAUCGGAGCUAAUACCGGAUAGUUCAUCGGACCGCAUGGUCCGUUGAUGAAAGGCGCUCCGGCGUCACCUUGAGAUGGCCUUGCGGUGCAUUAGCUAGUUGGUGGGGUAACGGCCCACCAAGGCGACGAUGUAUAGCCGGCCUGAGAGGGUGAUCGGCCACACUGGGACUGAGACACGGCCCAGACUCCUACGGGAGGCAGCAGUAGGGAAUCUUCCACAAUGGACGAAAGUCUGAUGGAGCAACGCCGCGUGAGUGAUGAAGGUUUUCGGAUCGUAAAACUCUGUUGUAAGGGAAGAACACGUACGAGAGGAAAUGCUCGUACCUUGACGGUACCUUACGAGAAAGCCACGGCUAACUACGUGCCAGCAGCCGCGGUAACAC
rnacentral:rRNA from 1 species